UACGUAGGGUGCAAGCGUUGUCCGGAAUUAUUGGGCGUAAAGAGCUCGUAGGCGGUUUGUUGCGUCGGCUGUGAAAUCCCGAGGCUCAACCUCGGGUCUGCAGUCGAUACGAGCAAACUAGAAUUCGGUAGGGGAGACUGGAAUUCCUGGUGUAGCGGUGAAAUGCGCAGAUAUCAGGAGGAACACCGGUGGCGAAGGCGGAUCUCUGGGCCGAUACUGACGCUGAGGAGCGAAAGCGUGGGGAGCGAACAGG
rnacentral:rRNA from 1 species